rnacentral:rRNA from 1 species
AGAGUUUGAUCCUGGCUCAGGAUGAACGCUGGCGGCGUGCUUAACACAUGCAAGUCGAACGGAGUGCUUCGGCACUUAGUGGCGGACGGAUGAGUAACGCGUGAGAAUCUACCUUCAGGUCUGGGACAACAGUUGGAAACGACUGCUAAUACCGGAUGUGCCGAGAGGUGAAAGGCUUGCUGCCUGAAGAAGAGCUCGCGUCGGAUUAGCUAGUUGGUGGGGUAAGGGCCUACCAAGGCGACGAUCCGUAGCUGGUCUGAGAGGAUGAUCAGCCACACUGGGACUGAGACACGGCCCAGACUCCUACGGGAGGCAGCAGUGGGGAAUUUUCCGCAAUGGGCGAAAGCCUGACGGAGCAACGCCGCGUGAGGGAGGAAGGCUCUUGGGUUGUAAACCUCUUUUGUCAGGGAAGAAGAACUGACGGUACCGACGAAUCAG